GACCUAGCGAGGCCCGGCUCAGCCCGAUCUCGCCCAGCUGAGCCCAGCCAGGCCCAGCUCGCCUCAGCCUGACCUUGCCCGGCUCGGCCGGGUUCAGCCCAGCCCGGCUGAGCUGGGUUCGGCCCAGCUCGGACUGGGUUCAGCCUAACCCAAGCCAGCCCAGCUCAGUUGGGUUCGGCCCGAACCGGCCUGGCUCAGCGCAGCUCCUUGUCAUGGCUGGCAGGGCCCAUAGGAAGGGUUUACGUUCCUGCUGGCGCUUGGUGCGAUGCCGUGCGCGCAGCGAGGGCUUCAGCAAACCGCCUGUUGGGAGAAGAGCUCGGGGAGGCAGCGGUGUCCCGUCCCCCCCCCCCCCCCCGUCCCCCCCCCGAGCCACGUCCUGAGGCGACAGGGCUCCUCCGCCCUUGCAGAAGGGUUUCCCACCACCCUUGUGCUCUUCCCAGCCCGUCUUGCCCUCCACAAGAGCUCACACCAGCCCUCGGAGAGCCACACUACGGGGUGAGACCAGGCAUGCCGGUAGCACCGGGCAGCUUUUUUUGUAGGAGCAAAAGUGGAAACUUGGGGAAAAAUCUGUGGACUGCUCGUCAUGCAAUGGAGGCAAGAGCUGACGAAAGCUUUUUAGGUCUUCUUUAUGGGAGGUUACCCCCAGGGAGAAGCAGCAUGUCAUUUAGAGAUGGUUACUGUGUUGGUUCUUGGGAGUAGCACUUUCAAGAUGACUAAAUUUUGUGAAUGAAAAGGCUCUCAGAGAGUAAUGCUUUAACCAUCACAGAGAAGCUGGUAUAUGGACCUUGUUUCUGCCUGGGCUGAAAGUGGACUUCCCUGAGUGCUGUUACACCUUUAACCAGCACUUACUUGGGGCGAGAAGCACUGGAAUCUGAAGCGGCAGAGCCUAGGAUGGCAUUUAGUGCAGGCUUGAAACGCAGCCUCCUACCUUCACCUCCUCUUGCUUUUAAAACCCAUACCUUUGAGCUGAAAUCUUCCAUGCGGUUGAUUUGGGAACCUAAAUAUGAAUUAGUACUUUGUUGACUCUGCUAGUUUCAAUGACUUUUCAACUGACUCACUCGGUGACUUUGAAUGAGUGGAAGUCAGCAGUCCUGAAUCAUGCCAUCCUCCAGACAACUACCCCCCUCACCAAUAAUUCUUUUGAGCAGCAAUCAUAUUUUAAAAGCAAUGAUUACAGCCGUGUUUUCCCCCACUAUAAUCGCUCAGAAUUUAGGAGCUACGGAAACGACCUGCAACAUUUGCAGUCAGCUUGAAAGCUUUCAGAGCUGACACAUUUUGGGAGGUCACGGAGUGUGGAAAUACAAAGGGUUUUUUUUUCAGCAGGAGUGGGAUUUCAGCAUGUGGUUUGGAGAAUUGUCAGGAGGAUUUCGGGCACCUGCCGGGGAAGAAGAGGUGGAGGGCUCCUCACAGUCUUGCCAGGAUGUCCUUUGGAAGGGCGGUAAGACCAGAGCAAGAAAGCAGAAAGGGACCCUCACUGCCAGAGAUCUGACUGUCCCACUGUUUUCUCCAUUUCUUGGGUUUUGUAACCCUGUGUUUUACUAGGACAGAAAAUGGCAACAAAGCUUACGUGAUCUCUUCACUACUGCAUGAAUGCACCUCUGUACAACUUUGAGAUGCUGGGGCUGGUGGCCGGGGGGAAGAAGGGGAAGGGAGGAACAGAGGAGGAGAGUAGAGAUCUCCAAAACAAUCCAGUACUUACUGGUUCAAAUCAAAUAAAUGUCUGUUUGGA